rnacentral:SRP_RNA from 1 species
GCUGGGCAUGGUGGUGCAUGCCUGUAGUCCUAGCUACUGGGGAGGCUGAGGCAGGAGGAUCACUUGAGCUUAGGAGUUCAAGGCUGCAGUGAGCUAUAAUAGCACCACUGCACUGAAGUCUGGGUGACAGAGUAAAACCCUGUCUCUA